rnacentral:rRNA from 1 species
UACGAAGGGGGCUAGCGUUGUUCGGAAUUACUGGGCGUAAAGCGCGCGCAGGCGGUUCUUCAAGUCAGUGGUGAAAGCCCGGAGCUCAACUCCGGAACUGCCAUUGAAACUGUAGAACUUGAGGAUGAGAGAGGUGAGUGGAAUUCCCAGUGUAGAGGUGAAAUUCGUAGAUAUUGGGAAGAACACCGGUGGCGAAGGCGGCUCACUGGCUCAUUUCUGACGCUCAGGCACGACAGCGUGGGGAUCAAACAGG